AAUAAAAUGCUCACAGUUAAUAAUUAGGAUUUUUACCCUUUCCUAAUAAACUGUGAGCAUUCAAUA
rnacentral:ncRNA from 1 species